rnacentral:rRNA from 1 species
GACGAACGCUGGCGGCGUGCUUAACACAUGCAAGUCGAACGGAAAGGCCCUGCUUUUGUGGGGUGCUCGAGUGGCGAACGGGUGAGUAACACGUGAGUAACCUGCCCUUGUCUUUGGGAUAACUUCAGGAAACUGGGGCUCAUACCGGAUAGGAGCUCCUGCUGCAUGGUGGGGGUUGGAAAGUUUCGGCGGUUGGGGAUGGACUGGCGGCUUAUCAGCUUGUUGGUGGGGUAGUGGCUUACCAAGGCUUUGACGGGUAGCCGGCCUGAGAGGGUGACCGGCCACAUUGGGACUGAGAUACGGCCCAGACGGCUACGGGAGGCAGCAGUGGGGAAUAUUGCACAAUGGGCGGAAGCCUGAGGCAGCGACGCCGCGUGCGGGAUGACGGCCUUCGGGUUGUAAACCGCUUUCGCCUGUGACGAAGCGUGAGUGACGGUAAUGGGUAAAGAAGCACCGGCUAACUACGUG